AAAAUUGUACUUUGCACAACAAACUUAUUUCGUCGUGCAAAGUAUUUUUGUAGUAGUGGUAGUAAAGUUGAAUCCUUAUAAUCCCUUGUCUUAAAAAAUAGGGAAAAAAAAAUUGUCUGUUUAGCACUUUUUGAAAAACAUAAUUAUUAAUAGGGUUAUGACCUAAAUGGUCCCAACUAUUGCUCCAUUAUCAUUUUGGUCCAUCAAAUAAAAUUUUCAAUUCAAACGUCCUUAAACUUUUUAUUUUGUACCAACAUGGUCCAUCCGUGACAGAUUCCG
rnacentral:lncRNA from 1 species